AGAGGGAGACAAAGUGCGGAUGAGAUGCGAGGGAAUAGGAUCGAGGGAGCAGGUGGUGGGGCGGGAGGACAGGAGCAGAGCAGAAACCUCUUGUGCUGUAGCAGGUGCAAAUGAGUUUAGGAUGACAGGGGGAGUGGGGUUGGGUGAUGUAUUGAUACUGGUUGGAGAAAGAUUAGAGAUCUCUUUCCUGAUUGUAGAGAUCUCAGUGAAAUGAGAAGCAAAGUUUGUGGCGGACAAGGUGGUGGAAGGAGGGGGAGUCACAGGGCGAAGAAGUGCAUCAAAAGUGUGAAACAGGUGUUUGGGUUGGUGGGACAGUGUGCUUAUGAGGGUGUUGAAGUAGCUUACUUUUGCAGAGGAAAGAGCCAUGCUGUAGGAGCGCAGCAUAAAUUUAUAGUGGACAAAGUCAGAUGCAAAGUGAGAC